rnacentral:rRNA from 1 species
GUAUAGGAUCUACCUAGUAGUACGGAAUAAUUGUUGGAAACGACAACUAAUACCGUAUACGCCCUACGGGGGAAAAAUUUAUUGCUAUUAGAUGAGCCUAUAUUAGAUUAGCUAGUUGGUGGGGUAAUAGCCUACCAAGGUAAUGAUCUAUAGCUGAUCUGAGAGGAUGAUCAGCCACACUGGAACUGAGAUACGGUCCAGACUCCUACGGGAGGCAGCAGUGGGGAAUAUUGGACAAUGGGCGAAAGCCUGAUCCAGCCAUGCCGCAUGAGUGAAGAAGGCCUUUGGGUUGUAAAGCUCUUUUAGUGAGGAAGAUAAUGACGGUACUCACAGAAGAAGUCCUGGCUAACUCCGUGCCAGCAGCCGCGGUAAUACGGAGAGGGCUAGCGUUAUUCGGAAUUAUUGGGCGUAAAGGGCGCGUAGGCUGGUUAAUAAGUUAAAAGUGAAAUCCCGAGGCUUAACCUUGGAAUUGCUUUUAAAACUAUUAAUCUAGAGAUUGAAAGAGGAUAGAGGAAUUCCUGAUGUAGAGGUAAAAUUCGUAAAUAUUAGGAGGAACACCAGUGGCGAAGGCGUCUAUCUGGUUCAAAUCUGACGCUGAAGCGCGAAGGCGUGGGGAGCAAACAGGAUUAGAUACCCUGGUAGUCCACGCUGUAAACGAUGAAUGUUAAAUAUGGGGAGUUUACUUUCUGUAUUACAGCUAACGCGUUAAACAUUCCGCCUGGGGACUACGGUCGCAAGAUUAAAACUCAAAGGAAUUGACGGGGACCCGCACAAGCGGUGGAGCAUGUGGUUUAAUUCGAUG